rnacentral:rRNA from 1 species
UCCGUAGGGGGCUAGCGUUGUCCGGAAUCAUUGGGCGUAAAGCGCGUGUAGGCGGUCCGGUAAGUCCGCUGUGAAAGUCGGGGGCUCAACCCUCGGAUGCCGGUGGAUACUGUCGGGCUUGAGUACGGAAGAGGCGAGUGGAAUUCCUGGUGUAGCGGUGAAAUGCGCAGAUAUCAGGAGGAACACCAAUUGCGAAGGCAGCUCGCUGGGACGUUACUGACGCUGAGACGCGAAAGCGUGGGGAGCAAACAGG